UCUUUUACUCUGUAUAUUACUUAGCUUUCUGUUAGGUUAAUUUAGUUGUUAUAGUUUUGAUCUUUGGGCUGCCACAGGUGGUUACCUUCUUGGAAGAACACUUGCUGUUCUUUCAACCAUUACAUUGGGGACAUCAAUGGCUGCUCGACAUGGUCCAGUAGCUAUGGCUGCACAUCAGAUAUGUAUGCAAGUGUGGUUGGCUGUUUCCCUUCUUACAGAUGCCUUGGCUGCAUCUGGUCAGGCCCUUGUUGCAAGUUCUGUAUCCAGACAUGAAUACAAAGUUGUGAAGGAGAUUACUAGUUUUGUAUUAAGGAUUGGACUGGUAAUGGGUAUUUGCUUGACUGCAAUUCUGGGUGCAUCGUUUGGAUCUCUAGCUACCAUUUUUACUCAGGAUUCUGAAGUCUUGCAGGUGGUGAGAUCAUUAGUGUUGUUUGUCAGUGUUUCUCAACCAUUUAAUGCACUGGCAUAUAUUUUUGACGGUCUCCAUUAUGGUGUUUCUGAUUUCCGAUAUGCUGCUUUCUCCAUGAUGUUUGUGGGAGCAGUCUCCUCUGCAUUCUUGUUGUUUGCACCUCCACUUUUUGGCCUCCAGGGCGUAUGGCUAGGCUUGGUUCUCUUCAUGGCUCUUCGUUCAGUAGCUGGCGCUGUCAGAUGUCUCUCAAAGAAUGGUCCUUGGUGGUUUCUACACAGGGAUUUACAAAUAGUAUAGAGUAAAUUGCAAAGUGUACGAGGAUGUCGAUAUAGCCUAUUGUUCCGUUUCAUAAUGUCACCGGAAAGAGCGAAAGAUAAUAUUAGACAGCAUGAUCCUGUCAGUAUGCCCAUUUAUGAAGCGUUAAAUUUUGCAUCUUUGUGAGUUUAUUGGUGAACUACGACUUACCUCAUAGCUUUACUCAGAUAUUGAGGAAAACAAACUGCGGUCUCAUAAAUGGAGGAUGUGGAUGAAACACUAGAUUUGACAUUUGAAGACUAAUUUUUCCGUCAGUGACUUGGUCUUUUUCGUCGUUCCCGUGUAGAGAUAGGCAAUUUUAGAAUCAUUUUCUAGGUUAUCGCUAUGAAAUUAGUCAUAAAUAUAUAUAUGAAAACUCUCUGUUAAGCACAUUUUUCACAAUCUUUUUUACCCUGUAAAGGAAAAUGGUUCAGUUCGGUAUUUUCCACUGCCAAACCCAAAACGCACACAAGGUAAUGCUUUGUUUUUGUCAAAUGUUGUAUAGACAAGCAGAUAUGCCGGUUACAGACACGACUUUAGCCGUGCUUGUUUCCAGUUAGAAUCCACGUUCUACACCAAUCACCAAGGUUUGCUUCAGCUGCGUUCAACCA